GCGGAGGGAAGCUCAUCAGUGGGGCUACGAGCUGAGUGCGCUUAGUCACUCUGUCCAUUGUCCCUUGGGAAGGUCUGAGACUAGGGCCAUAGGGCGGCCCUAACAGGGCCCUCCCUGAGCUUCGGGGAGGUGAGUUCCCAGAGAACGGGGCUCCGCGCGAGGGCAGACUGGGCAGGAGAUGCUAUGGACCCCGCCCUCGCGGAGGGGCCUGGCGGAUGCCUCCUUAGCCGGAGCUUGGAAUAGACUCACGGCCGGCGAAGUGAGUUCAAUGGCUGAGGUGAGGUACCCCGCCUGGGGGCCUCAUAACCCAAUUCAGACUACUCUCCCGCCCGU
rnacentral:RNase_P_RNA from 8 species